GACGUAGGGCGCGAGCGUUGUCCGGAUUUAUUGGGCGUAAAGCGCACGUAGGCGGUUCGUUAUGUCGGAUGUGAAAGCCCUUGGCUUAACCGAGGAAGUGCAUCCGAAACUGGCGAGCUAGAGUACGAAAGAGGAUCGCGGAAUUCCCGGUGUAGAGGUGAAAUUCGUAGAUAUCGGGAGGAACACCGGUGGCGAAGGCGGCGAUCUGGGUCGAUACUGACGCUGAGGUGCGAAAGCGUGGGGAGCAAACAGG
rnacentral:rRNA from 1 species